AUACAAAUACACAAGAAAAGUAAUAGGCAUUAGUUUUUCAUAAAAUAGUGUAAAACAAAGUACACUUUUAGUUAGCUUUAAAGUUAGUUUUCAGUGUUAAAAGCAAUUAAUUUCAAGCUCUAGCUCUAGUUUUCUUACACUAGGCGUGACGACGAAAAAAUCGACAAAAAAAAAAAACAAAUUUCUCGAAAUCCGCAUAAAAGAUUUACACGCGACGGCACCAAGUACGACUAUUAAACGACAAAUAUUUUGUUCAACGUUCCAAAGUAGCUCCAAAUUAUUUAAAGUCAACAACUAACACGAAAAUAAAGGGCGGACUUUAAAGAAGCGGACAAAGGAAAGCCUAUAAAA